rnacentral:rRNA from 1 species
GACAGAGGGUGCAAACGUUGCUCGGAAUUACUGGGCGUAAAGCGCGUGUAGGUGGAUUGGUGUGUCAGAUGUGAAAUCCCUGGGCUCAACCCAGGAACUGCACCUGAAACUACCAGUCUUGAGUGGUGGAGAGGGAAGUGGAAUUCCUGGUGUAGAGGUGAAAUUCGUAGAUAUCAGGAGGAACACCUGUGGCGAAAGCGGCGCACUGGACCACAACUGACGCUGAGGCGCGAAAGCUAGGGGAGCAAACAGG